rnacentral:rRNA from 1 species
GACGACCGCUGGCGGCGUGCUUAACACAUGCAAGUCGAACGAAGUGGCGAACGGGUGAGUAAUACGUGGGUAACCUGCCCUCCUUUUUGGGAUAAGCCUUGGAAACGGGGUCUAAUACCGAAUAAAGGGGGUUGGGCUCGCGUCCUAUCAGCGUGGUGGUGGGGUGAUGGCCUACAAAGGCGGUGACGGGUAGACGGCCUGAGAGGGUGACCGGGCACAUUGGUACUGAGUUACGGCCCAGACUCCUACGGGAGGCAGUAGUGGGGGAUAUUGCACAAUGGGCGAAAGCCUGAUGCAGCGACGCCGUGGGGGGGAUGAAGGCUUUCGAGUCGUAAAGUUCUUUCGGUACCAUAAGAAAAAGCCCCGGCUAACUACGUGCCAGCAGCCGCGGUAAUAC